UGGGGAAUAUUGCACAAUGGGGGAAACCCUGAUGCAGCGACGCCGCGUGGAGGAAGAAGGUUUUCGGAUUGUAAACUCCUGUCGUUAGGGACGAUAAUGACGGUACCUAACAAGAAAGCACCGGCUAACUACGUGCCAGCAGCCGCGGUAAAACGUAGGGUGCAAGCGUUGUCCGGAAUUACUGGGUGUAAAGGGAGCGCAGGCGGACCGGCAAGUUGGAAGUGAAAACCAUAGGCUCAACCUAUGGAUUGCUUUCAAAACUGCUGGCCUUGAGUAGUGCAGAGGUAGGUGGAAUUCCCGGUGUAGCGGUGGAAUGCGUAGAUAUCGGGAGGAACACCAGUGGCGAAGGCGACCUACUGGGCACCAACUGACGCUGAGGCUCGAAAGCAUGGGUAGCAAACAGGAUUAGAUACCCUGGUAGUCCAUGCCGUAAACGAUGAUUACUAGGUGUUGGAGGAUUGACCCCUUCAGUGCCGCAGUUAACACAAUAAGUAAUCCACCUGGGGAGUACGACCGCAAGGUUGAAACUCAAAGGAAUUGACGGGGGCCCGCACAAGCAGUGGAGUAUGUGGUUUAAUUCGAAGCAACGCGAAGAACCUUACCAGGUCUUGACAUCCGAUGCAUAGUGCAGAGAUGCAUGAAGUCCUUCGGGACAUCGAGACAGGUGGUGCAUGGUUGUCGUCAGCUCGUGUCGUGAGAUGUUGGGUUAAGUCCCGCAACGAGCGCAACCCUUAUUGUUAGUUGCCAUCAUUAAGUUGGGCACUCUAGCGAGACUGCCCGGGUUAACCGGGAGGAAGGUGGGGAUGACGUCAAAUCAUCAUGCCCCUUAUGACCUGGGCUACACACGUACUACAAUGGCAGUCAUACAGAGGGAAGCAAAACCGCGAGGUGGAGCAAAUCCCUAAAAGCUGUCCCAGUUCAGAUUGCAGGCUGCAACUCGCCUGCAUGAAGUCGGAAUUGCUAGUAAUCGCAGAUCAGCAUGCUGCGGUGAAUACGUUCCC
rnacentral:rRNA from 1 species